rnacentral:rRNA from 1 species
UUAUUUGAAACAGGAUACAACCUUACAUAUAGGGUAAGUAAAAAACAAUAAAAAUAAAGUAGGCCUAAAAGCAGCCAUCUUUAAGAAAGCGUCAUAGCUCCACCACACUUAAUUCACAAUUACCUCAAUUUCCCCUAACCCUUUACCCCUACUGAACCACUUUAUAUUAUUAUAAAAGCCACUAUGCUAGGACCAGUAACAAGAACUUACUUUUCUCCUUAAUAUAAAUAUAAGCCAAAACGGAUAACCCAUUGGUAAUUAACGUUUAUGAACCCCUUAUAACAACUCUAACUAGAAAACCUUAUAUCUACAAACGUUAACCUUACACUAGAAUAUUAAAGGAAAGAUUAAAAGAAAGAGAAGGAACUCGGCAAAUUUUAACCCCGCCUGUUUACCAAAAACAUCGCCUCUUGAUAAACAUAAGAGGUCCAGCCUGCCCAGUGACAAUGUUCAACGGCCGCGGUACCCUAACCGUGCAAAGGUAGCAUAAUCACUUGUUCUUUAAAUGAGGACUUGUAUCAACGGCACCACGAGGGUUGCACUGUCUCCUCUUUCCAAUCAGUGAAACUGAUCUCCCCGUGAAGAAGCUGGGAUUUUAGU